rnacentral:rRNA from 1 species
UUGAGAGUUUGAUCCUGGCUCAGAACGAACGCUGGCGGUAGGCCUAACACAUGCAAGUCGAGCGGUAGAGAGAAGCUUGCUUCUCUUGAGAGCGGCGGACGGGUGAGUAAUGCCUAGGAAUCUGCCUGGUAGUGGGGGAUAACGUUCGGAAACGGACGCUAAUACCGCAUACGUCCUACGGGAGAAAGCAGGGGACCUUCGGGCCUUGCGCUAUCAGAUGAGCCUAGGUCGGAUUAGCUAGUUGGUGGGGUAAUGGCUCACCAAGGCGACGAUCCGUAACUGGUCUGAGAGGAUGAUCAGUCACACUGGAACUGAGACACGGUCCAGACUCCUACGGGAGGCAGCAGUGGGGAAUAUUG